CUACGAGUGGCUGCAGUGGGGAAUAUUGGACAAUGGGGGAAACCCUGAUCCAGCAAUGCCGCGUGUGUGAAGAAGGCCUGCGGGUUGUAAAGCACUUUCGGUUGGGAGGACUGCUUCUAGCACUAAUAUUGUUGGAAGUUGACGUUACCUUCAGAAGAAGCACCGGCUAACUCCGUGCCAGCAGCCGCGGUAAUACGGAGGGUGCAAGCGUUGAAUCGGAAUUACUGGGCGUAAAGCGCGCGUAGGCGGCUAGAUCAGUCGGGUGUGAAAGCCCCGGGCUUAACCUGGGAACUGCAUCCGAUACUGUCUAGCUUGAGUACAGGAGAGGAGAGUGGAAUUCCACAUGUAGCGGUGAAAUGCGUAGAUAUGUGGAGGAACACCAAUGGCGAAGGCAGCUCUCUGGCCUGAUACUGACGCUGAGGUGCGAAAGCGUGGGGAGCAAACAGGAUUAGAUACCCCGGUAGUC
rnacentral:rRNA from 1 species